GUCGGUAUGGCGAAACGACAAUGGAGGACACCCACCUGUACGAGAGUUUUAUGGAGGUUUAUUUUGAAAUCGGCCGAAAACACAAAGACAUUCAAGCAGUGCUUAACAAGAGGCACAGUUUUCACAUAAACGAUACUGCUUUUCGAGCAAGCUGGUUCCAGUGCAAGUUCGGAGCCAGUGUCUGACUGAGCACCAGUUCCUUGUGUUUCCACCAACUAACCACCGGCUCCUGGGGACGCAGCAGUUAUCGGCCAAAACAAUCCCGCUUUGACCAGCUGCAUGCUGUGAUUCUAGCCGGGGCCCUGAACGCCACAGUCGUGCUGGACUUGAUGCACUACGAGUCUGCCAUGCAGACCAACGAUCCUGAUCCUGUUGUCAGCCUUGGAGGAUGAGGUCCAGUUACCAGGAUCACUACUCUGCAGCUCACAGAUCCCAUCCUGCAGCUCAUCCAUGUUGUCCUCCUCUCAACAGACCAAAUCAAGAAAAAGGAAGCAGGAUGCUGCUGUGGAUCUGCUGCAGUAUCUGGAGAGGUCAGAGGAACAGUUUAGAAGACACCAAGACCUGACCUCUGCCAUGCUCCAGAACAUCCAGACACCAAGACCUGACCUCUGCCAUGCUCCAGAACAUCCAGACACCAAGACCUGACCACUGCCAUGCUCCAGAACAUCCAGAGACCAAGACCUGACCACUGCCAUGCUCCAGAACA